rnacentral:tRNA from 1 species
GGGGCUGUAGCUCAGUGGCAGAGCGCUUGCCUCACACGCAUGAGGCACUGGGUUCCAUCUCAGCACCA